ACUCUAAGCGGUGGAUCACUCGGCUCAUGGGUCGAUGAAGAACGCAGCAAACUGUGCGUCAUCGUGUGAACUGCAGGACACAUGAACAUCGACAUUUUGAACGCAUAUCGCAGUCCAUGCUGUUAUGUACUUUAAUUAAUUUUAUAGUGCUGCUUGGACUACAUAUGGUUGAGGGUUGUAAGACUAUGCUAAUUAAGUUGCUUAUAAAUUUUUAUAAGCAUAUGGUAUAUUAUUGGAUAAAUAUAAUAAUUUUUAUUCAUAAUAUUAAAAAAUAAAUGAAAAACAUUAUCUCACAUUUGAAUGUGAAAAACGAAGAGAAAUAUUUUCUUUUUCAAUCAAAUAAUACUGAGAAAUGUCUAGCAUAAAAAAUUGAAAUAUUUUUCAUCUAGAAUUGUCUCUUAUUAAUGAUUCGGAAAUAGAAAAAUCUUGGUUAUGUUAUUAUUCUUCGUUGGUUCGUUAAAAAUGGAUAAAUAAAAACUUUGCAUACAAGAAUUAAUAAAAAUGUUAUAACGAAUUUAAUUAAAUGUUUUAUCAUUAUAUAUAAAGAAUUUAUGGCAAGAUAAAGUUAUAUACAACCUCAACUCAUAUGGGACUACCCCCUGAAUUUAAGCAUAUUAAUUAGGGGAGGAAAAGAAACUAACAAGGAUUUUCUUAGUAGCGGCGAGCGAAAAGAAAACAGUUCAGCACUAAGUCACUUUGUCUAUAUGGCAAAUGUGAGAUGCAGUGUAUGGAGCGUCAAUAUUCUAGUAUGAGAAAUUAACGAUUUAAGUCCUUCUUAAAUGAGGCCAUUUACCCAUAGAGGGUGCCAGGCCCGUAUAACGUUAAUGAUUACUAGAUGAUGUUUCCAAAGAGUCGUGUUGCUUGAUAGUGCAGCACUAAGUGGGUGGUAAACUCCAUCUAAAACUAAAUAUAACCAUGAGACCGAUAGUAAACAAGUACCGUGAGGGAAAGUUGAAAAGAACUCUGAAUAGAGAGUUAAACAGUACGUGAAACUGCUUAGAGGUUAAGCCCGAUGAACCUGAAUAUCCGUUAUGGAAAAUUCAUCAUUAAAAUUGUAAUAUUUAAAUAAUAUUAUGAGAAUAGUGUGCAUUUUUUCCAUAUAAGGACAUUGUAAUCUAUUAGCAUAUACCAAAUUUAUCAUAAAAUAUAACUUAUAGUUUAUUCCAAUUAAAUUGCUUGCAUUUUAACACAGAAUAAAUGUUAUUAAUUUGAUAAAGUGCUGAUAGAUUUAUAUGAUUACAGUGCGUUAAUUUUUCGGAAUUAUAUAAUGGCAUAAUUAUCAUUGAUUUUUGUGUUUAUUAUAUGCACUUGUAUGAUUAACAAUGCGAAAGAUUCAGGAUACCUUCGGGACCCGUCUUGAAACACGGACCAAGGAGUCUAACAUAUGUGCAAGUUAUUGGGAUAUAAACCUAAUAGCGUAAUUAACUUGACUAAUAAUGGGAUUAGUUUUUUAGCUAUUUAUAGCUAAUUAACACAAUCCCGGGGCGUUCUAUAUAGUUAUGUAUAAUGUAUAUUUAUAUUAUUUAUGCCUCUAACUGGAACGUACCUUGAGCAUAUAUGCUGUGACCCGAAAGAUGGUGAACUAUACUUGAUCAGGUUGAAGUCAGGGGAAACCCUGAUGGAAGACCGAAACAGUUCUGACGUGCAAAUCGAUUGUCAGAAUUGAGUAUAGGGGCGAAAGACCAAUCGAACCAUCUAGUAGCUGGUUCCUUCCGAAGUUUCCCUCAGGAUAGCUGGUGCAUUUUAAUAUUAUAUAAAAUAAUCUUAUCUGGUAAAGCGAAUGAUUAGAGGCCUUAGGGUCGAAACGAUCUUAACCUAUUCUCAAACUUUAAAUGGGUAAGAACCUUAACUUUCUUGAUAUGAAGUUCAAGGUUAUGAUAUAAUGUGCCCAGUGGGCCACUUUUGGUAAGCAGAACUGGCGCUGUGGGAUGAACCAAACGUAAUGUUACGGUGCCCAAAUUAACAACUCAUGCAGAUACCAUGAAAGGCGUUGGUUGCUUAAAACAGCAGGACGGUGAUCAUGGAAGUCGAAAUCCGCUAAGGAGUGUGUAACAACUCACCUGCCGAAGCAACUAGCCCUUAAAAUGGAUGGCGCUUAAGUUGUAUACCUAUACAUUACCGCUAAAGUAGAUGAUUUAUAUUACUUGUGAUAUAAAUUUUGAAACUUUAGUGAGUAGGAAGGUACAAUGGUAUGCGUAGAAGUGUUUGGCGUAAGCCUGCAUGGAGCUGCCAUUGGUACAGAUCUUGGUGGUAGUAGCAAAUAAUCGAAUGAGACCUUGGAGGACUGAAGUGGAGAAGGGUUUCGUGUGAACAGUGGUUGAUCACGAGUUAGUCGGUCCUAAGUUCAAGGCGAAAGCCGAAAAUUUUCAAGUAAAACAAAAAUGCCUAACUAUAUAAACAAAGCGAAUUAUAAUACACUUGAAUAAUUUUGAACGAAAGGGAAUACGGUUCCAAUUCCGUAACCUGUUGAGUAUCCGUUUGUUAUUAAAUAUGGGCCUCGUGCUCAUCCUGGCAACAGGAACGACCAUAAAGAAGCCGUCGAGAGAUAUCGGAAGAGUUUUCUUUUCUGUUUUAUAGCCGUACUACCAUGGAAGUCUUUCGCAGAGAGAUAUGGUAGAUGGGCUAGAAGAGCAUGACAUAUACUGUUGUGUCGAUAUUUUCUCCUCGGACCUUGAAAAUUUAUGGUGGGGACACGCAAACUUCUCAACAGGCCGUACCAAUAUCCGCAGCUGGUCUCCAAGGUGAAGAGUCUCUAGUCGAUAGAAUAAUGUAGGUAAGGGAAGUCGGCAAAUUAGAUCCGUAACUUCGGGAUAAGGAUUGGCUCUGAAGAUUGAGAUAGUCGGGCUUGAUUGGGAAACAAUAACAUGGUUUAUGUGCUCGUUCUGGGUAAAUAGAGUUUCUAGCAUUUAUGUUAGUUACUUGUUCCCCGGAUAGUUUAGUUACGUAGCCAAUUGUGGAACUUUCUUGCUAAAAUUUUUAAGAAUACUAUUUGGGUUAAACCAAUUAGUUCUUAUUAAUUAUAACGAUUAUCAAUUAACAAUCAAUUCAGAACUGGCACGGACUUGGGGAAUCCGACUGUCUAAUUAAAACAAAGCAUUGUGAUGGCCCUAGCGGGUGUUGACACAAUGUGAUUUCUGCCCAGUGCUCUGAAUGUCAAAGUGAAGAAAUUCAAGUAAGCGCGGGUCAACGGCGGGAGUAACUAUGACUCUCUUAAGGUAGCCAAAUGCCU
rnacentral:rRNA from 1 species